GCAAACUUGGUCAUUUAGAGGAAGUAAAAGUCGUAACAAGGUUUCCGUAGGUGAACCUGCGGAAGGAUCAUUAUUGAAUAAAACAUGAUCAGGUUGUUGCUGGCUUUUAUAAAUAAGCAUUGUGCACACUUGGUCUGCUUUUAAUCUCCUCUUGUGCAUUUUGUGUAGAUUGAAACAAACUUGUCGAGAUGACUCGGUUAGAGAAUCUGCCGUGUAAAAGCCGGCUUUUCUUGUGUCUCAAAUCUGCAAUAUUUUUUUUACACACACUGUCUUAAAGUAUUAGAAUGGAUAGACAUAUCCCACAGGUCAUGUUUAAUGCCUGUAAAUAAAAAUGAAAUACAACUUUCAACAACGGAUCUCUUGGCUCUCGCAUCGAUGAAGAACGCAGC
rnacentral:misc_RNA from 1 species